rnacentral:rRNA from 1 species
GACGAACGCUGGCGGCGUGCUUAACACAUGCAAGUCGAACGGAAAGGCCCUGCUUUUGUGGGGUGCUCGAUUGGCGAACGGGUGAGUAACACGUGAGUAACCUGCCCUUGACUUUGGGAUAACUUCAGGAAACUGGGGCGAAUACCGGAUAGGAUCUCCUGCAGCAUAGUGGGGGUUGGAAAGUUUCGGCGGUGGUGGAUGGACUCGCGGCUUAUCAGCUGGUUGGUGGGGUAGUGGCUUACCAGGCCUUUGACGGGUAGCCGGCCUGAGAGGGUGACCGGCCACAAUGGGACUGAGAUACGGACCAGACUCCUACGGGCGGCAGCAGUGGCAAAUAUUGCACAAUGAGCGGAAGCCUGAUGCAGCAACGCCGCGUGCGGGAUAACGGCCUUCGGGUUAUAAACCGCUUUCGCCUGUGACGAAGCGUGAGUGACGGUAAUGGGUAAAGAAGCCCCGGCUAACUACGUG